AGUGAACGCUGGCGGUAGGCCUAACACAUGCAAGUCGAACGGCAGCACAGUAAGAGCUUGCUCUUACGGGUGGCGAGUGGCGGACGGGUGAGGAAUACAUCGGAAUCUACUUUUUCGUGGGGGAUAACGUAGGGAAACUUACGCUAAUACCGCAUACGACCUACGGGUGAAAGCAGGGGAUCUUCGGACCUUGCGCGAUUGAAUGAGCCGAUGUCGGAUUAGCUAGUUGGCGGGGUAAAGGCCCACCAAGGCGACGAUCCGUAGCUGGUCUGAGAGGAUGAUCAGCCACACUGGAGCUGAGACACGGUCCAGACUCCUACGAGAGGCAGCAGUGGGGAAUAUUGGACAAUGGGCGCAAGCCUGAUCCAGCCAUACCGCGUGGGUGAAGAAGGCGUUCGGGUUGUAAAGCCCUUUUGUUGGGAAAGAAAAGCAGCAGGUUAAUACCCCGCUGUUCUGACGGUACCCAAAGAAUAAGCACCGGCUAACUUCGUG
rnacentral:rRNA from 1 species